AUAUGUACGAAAAUGUUGCACAUUGAGAAUAUAAGGGUUUGAUGAAUGUUCAAUAUUGAAUAAUUAUUUUUUGAGUGAAUAAUUUCUUAAAAUUUAUCUAUGUAUGAAUAAAUGAAUGAAUAUUAUGGCCCUAUUAAUAAUGCUUCCUUAGGGUGAGGAAAGGUCGAGCGGCUCCUUAAUUUAUAUAAACAAUGAAAACUUAGGCCCUCCUCAACCUCAACCUCACCUUGACCUCAGUUGACCCUCAACCUCAGCCUCACCUCAGCUCUUCCAUAUAAUUAAUGAAAACUUUAGGUUGACCUCAACCUCAAAACAUGAGUUUUCCUCGAAAUUUUCAAGGUAGCUCACCUAGCUUCCUUAACGUCAACUUUGGUGUAAAUUUAUCGUUGUUUUUGCAAUUAAAACACUAUUUUUGGCUGAAAUGCCAUGUUCACGGUUAGCAAAUUUUGAUUAUCGUCGGGAACGACAAAUCCGGGUCGCAAAAAUUCCUUUGACCAGACUACGCGACAGGCAAAAUCCUCUCGAGUGGUUUAAUGCUGUAGAGUUCAAGAUACGUUAUCAUAUGUACAAGGAGACUGCAAUUUUUAUUACUGAUCUUAUCAGUCAGGACUUAUCUUACCGAGUGCCUAGAGGUGUGUAUAUUCCACCCGUAAUUCAGUUCUUGACCGUUCUCCGAUUUUACGCCACGGGUAAUUUCCAAACGGAUAACGCCGACUUGCACCAAAUGUCACAGCCAACAAUAUCCAAUCUGGUGAAACGGGUUUCAAAAGCAAUUGCCAAACUUCGUGGUCGCCUUAUCCAUUUUCCAAGCUUCCAAGAGGCCGAUAAAGUGCAACGGGAGUUCUAUAAAAUUGCUGGAUUUCCGGGUAAGCCUAUAUAUUGCAUAUAAAAAUUAAUCAUAAAACGCACAUUCUUAUGACAGGAGUAAUUGGGAGUAUCGAUUGCACACACAUACACAUUAUAUCUCCUGGUGGCGAUGACGCUGAGCUGUUUCGGAACCGGAAGGGUCGAUUUUCAGUAAAUGUACAAGCCACGUGCGACGCCUCGUUGUGUUUCACUAAUGUCGUCGCUCGAUGGUACGGCAGUGCCCAUGAUUCUAGGAUUUUUGAAAAUUCCCUGCUAUUUGAUGACUUGCAAAAUGGCCGAUCCCCAGGUCUGUUGGUGGGCGACGGAGGAUAUCCACUCCUCCCUUUCCUCCUGACCCCAUUUGAACCGCCAAGGACCCCGUCGGAAUAGCGAUAUAACUAUGCGCAAAUUCGAACACGCAACACCAUAGAAAGGGCCUUUGGAAUUGUGAAACGCCGCUUUCCUUGCUUAAAAAAGUUGCGCAUCAAACUUAACACCAGCUUAAUUGUUAUCGUAGCGGUCUCGAUUCUGCACAAUAUUUGCAGAAAACGACUUGACAUUUAUGAUAACGAUCGGACGGAAGAUAUCGAUGAAGACGUCGAGCUGAUUGGCGAAGAGGCAUCACACGUCGCAGGAAGGAAUUCCGGUUCUGGGCGACUUUUUAGAUCUGCAUUUGUGGAAAAACAUUUUUAGUUAUGCGCACUCAUUUAAACCAUGUUAAUUAUUUAUUUUUGGGCACCUACGAGUAUUGUGGUCCCUCCAUCGAUUUCAAGUUUUGAAAUUAAUAAUUUAACGUCUAGCUCAUGUUUCUCUGUGAUAUGUCGAAUUUCCAGUUUAGCCUUUUCCACUCGUAACUGUUCCGCUUCAUGUGCCAAUACCAACGUCUUAAGUCGCAAUUUGUGCUCCUCGUACUCCCAAUCAAUGAGAGCAGAUCUAGCGUCACGGUUUCGACAUCUUUCUAGUAAUAAGAGAAAUUAUAUUCUUUAGUUUUAUAAGUUUUAGUU